UUCCACCAACGCUUCCUGGUUUGAAAAUCAAGAGCUAAGUGAGGCUGAAGCUUCAUGGAUUACCUUGCUGAGGACUGUGGAUCCACAUCUGAAUCAAUCAAAUUUAGAAAAAUUUGUCAGCUUCCCGGAAUUUCAUCCGAAGAAUUCUCAAAUUGCGAGUCCUCAACCCUGCCUCGAAACAUUUAAUUGCGGAACCAAGACGUUUGAAUGGGUUCCGUUCCCAGUUUAUCACGCAGACUGAGAAGCCACCGGUUCAGGAAGGCGUCAAAACUGUACGCCUGAAGAAAAAAAAAUCCAUUUCCCCAGGAGAAAAUGACCAAGAUGAGACACACCAAGCCAUUUUGCUAGCUCCUGAGCCAAAAUCUCAAACAGCCAAGAAAUAUACGGUGGAAAACCCAAAGAGUGGCAUCAGACGUCCUGUUGUGCUGGAAGAUGAAGCAUUUGAGAUAUCUUAAGCCACUCACCAAGUUUGCCCAGACUUUCUUCACUAACAAAUGCUCUGAACUGUCCCCAAAGUUUUGAAUUUCAAAGUUAUGGAAAAGGACUCCUUUGCAGAGUGAAUGCUGAAGUAGUAUGAUAUAAGUUUACUUAACAAGAACUCACCUCUGCAAGAGAUGCCUGCUAUUUCUCCCACUGGCAGCCAGGAGGGUCAGAAUGACAUAUCCAAUAUGUGUAAUAUUACAGAAAUUAUUCUUUCAGCGAAAAUCUGAUUUUAAGAAAUAAGUGGGGGCUAAGCGCAUCAUGAAUACACUUGGGAAAGGGAUAGGAAUAAAAGGAAUGUUAAUUGACUACUACAUGUUAGAAAGCAAAAAUAGAAAAUCAGAAGUUUCCCCUGACAAAGGCACCUAAUAUUAAAAUGUCUUGGAAUUAUUAUUAUUUUUUUAACUUUAGGAGCUUUUCAUUAGCAUGAAACAUGGCUAUGUACUUUCCCCCCUGUGGGAUCAUAAAUGUGAAUGCAUCAUCAACCAGAUAAAUAGAAAACCUGCAAAGAAUUUAUAUAAGUAAUAGGUUGGCAUUAAGUGCCAGCUUUAAAAGCAGCAGCAGGAGGAGCUGACUCAUAGUUUUCAAUAAUUUUUGCAAAGGAAUAAAUUGAAACACUCAAUUUUUUGAAUGUUAAUGGUUAGGAACUAGGUAAAAAAAAAAAUUGGCGAAAAUUUUAUAUCCAGCCAAAGUUUUAUAUCCAAUAACAGAUUCAGAAAUUAGUGAACUCCAUUUACUAUGUAGCCUCGUUAAAAAUUGUACAAGAUAGUAAGAAUUUUUCUCUUUUGUGUUAAACUAGAUGACAAAUGUGGUAGAAGAAUUAGAAAUAUAAUAAGAGUUGUGUAUUAGUAGAUAGUGAUUUUAUCUGCAGAUCAAAUUAUCGCAGUUGUUUCCAGUUCAUAGAUACUCCAAACGGAAACAUGGUAAUAAUUGUGCUAAAAGUUUAUUUGAAAACAAAGAUGAUGAGAUGUUAACCAAACUCAUAAAUAUGAACCAGUUGCCAAGCAUCCAAAUUUUGAUCACAUGACCGUGGGGAUGCUGCAACGGUCGUAGGUGUGGAAAAUGGUCAUAAGUCACUUUUUUCAUUGCUGUUGUAACCUCAAACGGUCACUAAACAAACUGUUGUAAGUCAAGCACUACCUAUACAGUGAAAUCUUGAUGGGUAUUUGGUUAUGUAGCCCUGCAAGGGAGAAAGAAAUGUUUUUUGUAAAUGUUAUUUCAAUAACUUUGGAGGAAUUGCGUUUACAUAAUCAGCGUGUUGGGAUUUAAAUAAGUGUCAAAAGUCAAACGGUUUUAAAGUAUAGCUCCACCUUAGCGAACUAAACACAACUACACUAAGAGCUCUAAUUUCAUGCAGAUUGAAUUUAACCACCUUUACACAGUUAUAGAGGAAUACAAAUUCUUGAACGGUAACUAAGAGUUCGUGUUUGAACUCUGCUUUUAUUGUAAUAGUUGUUUCCAGACAGUUUGAAGAGAUCAACUCUGUUUGAAGAGAUCAAAUGCAAACAAGACCACUUGGUGUGCAGAACGUAUGGAACUGAAACAUAUGAAUAAAACAUGGUAAUCCAUCUGAA